UCCUUCGGGGCAGGGUGAAAUUCCCUACCGGCGGUGAUGAGCUUAUGUUGCUCUUAGUCCGUGACCCGGCUGCAUGUUUGCAGACGGUGGAUUUGGUGAAACUCCAAGGCCGACAGUUAAAGUCUGGAUGGGAGAAGGA
rnacentral:ncRNA from 1 species